rnacentral:rRNA from 1 species
AUUGAACGCUGGCGGCAUGCUUUACACAUGCAAGUCGAACGGCAGCACGGACUUCGGUCUGGUGGCGAGUGGCGAACGGGUGAGUAAUACAUCGGAACGUGCCCAGUUGUGGGGGAUAACUACUCGAAAGAGUAGCUAAUACCGCAUGAGAACUGAGGUUGAAAGCAGGGGAUCGCAAGACCUUGCGCAACUGGAGCGGCCGAUGGCAGAUUAGGUAGUUGGUGGGAUAAAAGCUUACCAAGCCGACGAUCUGUAGCUGGUCUAAGAGGACGACCAGCCACACUGGGACUGAGACACGGCCCAGACUCCUACGGGAGGCAGCAGUGGGGAAUUUUGGACAAUGGGCGAAAGCCUGAUCCAGCAAUGCCGCGUGCAGGAUGAAGGCCUUCGGGUUGUAAACUGCUUUUGUACGGAACGAAAAGCUUCGGGUUAAUACCCUGGAGUCAUGACGGUACCGUAAGAAUAAGCACCGGCUAACUACGUGCCAGCCGCCGCGGUAAGAC